rnacentral:rRNA from 1 species
GACGAACGCUGGCGGCGCGCUUAACACAUGCAAGUCGAGCGAUGAAAUUUCGACAGAUCCCUUCGGGGUGAAGAUGAAAUGGAUUAGCGGCGGACGGGUUAGUAACACGUGAGUAACCUGCCUUUGACAUUGGGAUAGCCUCGGGAAACUGGGAUUAAUACCAAAUGACACUAACUGAUCACAUGAUCAAUUAGUCAAAGAAAUUCGGUCAAAGAUGGACUCGCGGCUGAUUAGCUAGUUGGUGAGGUAACGGCCCACCAAGGCGACGAUCAGUAGCCGGCCUGAGAGGGUGAUCGGACACAUUGGAACUGAGACACGGUCCAAACUCCUACGGGAGGCAGCAGUGGGGAAUAUUGCAAAAUGGGGGAAACCCUGAUGCAGCGACGCCGCGUGAGCGAAGAAGGCCUUCGGGUAGUAAAGCUCUUUUAUGAGGGAAGAUAAUGACGGUACCUAAAGAAAAAGCCCCGGCUAACUACGUG